GAACUUGUUCAGAUUUGAUUUCAACAUUGCAAUGAGUGGCGAACGGGUGAGUAACACGUGGGAAACCUACUCUUAGCAGGGAUAACAUUUGGAAACAAAUGCUAAUACCGUAUAAUAAUUAAAACCGCAUGGUUUUAAGUUUAAAAGAUGGUCUUGCUAUCACUAAGAGAUGGUCCCGCGGUGUAUUAGUUAGUUGGUGAGGUAAUGGCUCACCAAGACAAUGAUACAUAGCCGAGUUGAGAGACUGACCGGCCACAAUGGGACUGAGACACGGCCCAUACUCCUACGGGAGGCAGCAGUAGGGAAUCUUCCACAAUGGACGAAAGUCUGAUGGAGCAACGCCGCGUGUGUGAUGAAGGGUUUCGGCUCGUAAAACACUGUUGUAAGAGAAGAAUGACAUUGAGAGUAACUGUUCAAUGUGUGACGGUAUCUUACCAGAAAGGAACGGCUAAAUACGUG
rnacentral:rRNA from 1 species